rnacentral:rRNA from 1 species
AGUGAACGCUGGCGGUAGGCCUAACACAUGCAAGUCGAACGGCAGCACAGUAAGAGCUUGCUCUUACGGGUGGCGAGUGGCGGACGGGUGAGGAAUACAUCGGAAUCUACUUUUUCGUGGGGGAUAACGUAGGGAAACUUACGCUAAUACCGCAUACGACCUACGGGUGAAAGCAGGGGAUCUUCGGACCUUGCGCGAUUGAAUGAGCCGAUGUCGGAUUAGCUAGUUGGCGGGGUAAAGGCCCACCAAGGCGACGAUCCGUAGCUGGUCUGAGAGGUUGAUCAGCCACACUGGAACUGAGACACGGUCCAGACUCCUACGGGAGGCAGUAGUGGGGAAUAUUGGACAAUGGGCGCAAGCCUGAUCCAGCCAUACCGCGUGGGUGAAGAAGGCCUUCGGGUUGUAAAGCCCUUUUGUUGGGAAAGAAAAGCAGCAGGUUAAUACCCCGCUGUUCUGACGGUACCCAAAGAAUAAGCACCGGCUAACUUCGUG